GACGUAGGGCGCGAGCGUUGUCCGGAUUUAUUGGGCGUAAAGAGCUCGUAGGCGGCUUGUCGCGUCGACUGUGAAAUCCCGCGGCUCAACUGCGGGUCUGCAGUCGAUACGGGCAGGCUAGAGUUCGGUAGGGGAGAGUGGAAUUCCUGGUGUAGCGGUGAAAUGCGCAGAUAUCAGGAAGAACACCCGUGGCGAAGGCGGCUCUCUGGGACGGUACUGACGCUGAGACGCGAAAGCGUGGGGAGCGAACAGG
rnacentral:rRNA from 1 species